AAUGGUGAAUGGAGUCUGGAAGGAAUUAGGUGAUCAGAUGAAUAUGGAGGGAGGUGUUUGCAUCAGCAAUUGCGUCAGUGUAGAUGGUCUUUAAAUCUUUGACUAAUUGGCUUCUGUUUUAAACUGUCUCCAACCUCCUCAACCUGCUGGUUGAAGUGCCCACUGGUUCAGGCAGUUAGAAGCUAGGAGAGACCUCUUCUAACUUCCUCACUGUGCCCCUGGCUCAAAUGGUGGCUUCCAGCUUCUUCCUGCCUGGACACAUCAUGUGUACCUGGUCAACAGGUUUAGAACCAGGCUCUCCAUUUAAAUCAAGCUGCUGGACACAAUUCUUUAACCUAACCAAACGCAAUAGUAGCUCUGCAGAUGUGGGAAGGCCAGCUUGCUUGUUUUCAGAGUUCAAUGAUCUUUGAAGUGGAGAUGAAGAUGGGCUGCUCUGUCGCUCAAGGUGCCAUUUUGUCAAUGUCAAGUUAGGGAUCAGCUGCUGAAGGUCCUGGAUAACCACCCCAAAGACUUGGAUACAUUUGUCUGUCAAUCAGAGGACAUGUCAGGAUUUAACACCAGCACAGUGACAGUCAGAAGUUUCAAACCAGGGGGUCACACCAGGAUUGACGAACCAGUGCUGGGUCGGCCUUUUCACAGGUGUGCAAUCUAGUGGCUCGCUGGUAGUCCUGACACUUCUGGGCCUCCCCUCUUUGCCAGUCCUGCCGCUGCCAGUGGCAACCAUCCCGACGGCGACUCCCAUGACUGAACACACCCCAUGACGGUGGCAAUGACCUCUGUGCUGAAGGGCCUGUUAGCCCCGACCUCUGCAAACACAGUGUCUUGUGUGCAAAGGUCCCUUCCCUGCCGGAGGCGACGGUCCCCUCUGCUGCUGGGCCUCCCCUCCUUGUCAAACCUUCAGCUGCCAGGCCUUGGACAUGCUCUCCAGGCAACAAAUGACUGUGAAAAUGCCCAAACAUUGUAUGGCAUCUUCCAGCUCUGCAACCGUGGCCUGCACAGAUGGCACAACUCAGUCCAGCAACAUUUGUAGACUACACUGCAGCAAACUGCUUCAUGAGGACUUAAGUGAUGACCUCCACUGCGUACAAGAGGUGAUUAAAUCUGGGAAAAUGCUAACCACAUUACACGUCUCCAGACCUAAAAAUACUUCACUGGAUGCUCAUCUUGCUUAUUUAAGUUCUAGAACAAGACAACUGAGCUAGAACUGCAAAGCAACUGUAAAAUACAUUUGCAAAGUUGAC